rnacentral:lncRNA from 1 species
CCAAGAGUUUUUUAGGCAGUUUGAAAGCUUAAGCUGUUGCAGGGCUAUCCUCUGUCAGCUGCUUCUCAGAAGACCAAGAGCUUAGGCUGUGGCUGUGCCUCAUCCCAUUAGCCUUAGAGCUAAUCUCCGGCCAACACCGGCACCGCCCUCUAGUGUCUAGGGACAGUACACGUCAUGCCGUCAGGGAUCUCUGUAGUAUUGGUCAAACCAUCUCUCUCCACAGCCUUUCCUAUAAAGGUAUGCCUCAAACUUCAAUUAGACUUAACUUUCUACAGAUGCCUGCUUCCAUCCUAAUUGAGCAACUAGACUUUAGCAAUUCUGGAUCUCACUCACUAUGUGGUAAAUGUACCUGAUCUAUCAAGUGUAUUCCCCAGCAAAAGAUAGCAUAAAAGUGAUUUCCAGAUCUCCCAUGACCUUAGAUGAACUUUCAAAAAGUUUAAUCGCAGCAAGCAAGAAUCUGUCAAAUGGGGCAAGGAGAAACUGUGAUGAAGCUGUGGGCAGAGCUUUGCUAAAGAUUUUCUGCUUGUUGAACCUCUCAAAUACUGAAAGUUUCCUGGAGGUCUCUCCAUGAUAUGCUCAUUACUAAAGGAAUAGCUUCCAAUCUGCUGUAAGAAGCACUAUGCCAUCCAUUUGUUCCAGGACCUUAUCCUCUGCAGGUAAGCAGUCUUGAUCUUGCAACCACGAAGGAGGCAGAUCAAAUCCUAAUUAUUUGUGAAUGCAUUUACUUUAGGCUUCUGUACAUUCAAAGUGACACACUU